UAGUAGUGGAUCAACUGAAAAUUGCUUCUACUGAUGAACUAUUGAGCCUGAACAGAUCAGACUUUUCUAACUCUAGUAUAUGUAAUAAUUUCCAAUGUUCAUUGCAUAAGGAGGAAGACCAAGAUAGUUCUUCUCUCAAUGACAUGAAAAUGGUGUCACAAUGUUCAGAGCUAGACUCUCAGGAUUCAGAAUCUACAAUUGUUUGCAAGAAUGAUCUACAGAACAAUAAAGAUAUCAAAUCACUCGGAGAGGAUUUAAAGCGCAGAGAGGCAUUUGUUAGGCUACAGAAUUUAGCUAUGGAAUUCAGCCAGUUAAGCACUCGGUCUUCACAAGUGGUUUAAAUCCAAAUGUUCCUCUCCUUGCUCGUGUUGAUCUGAAUCUUGGCUCCUGUCAGUGGGCAUUUUCUCCUGGACUGGUUGAGGAAUCCAUAAAAGGUAUACUCGAUGCAUUCUUAAAAGCUACUCAAUAUGCAAAUAAAUGGGCCAAAGCUUGGCAUAAAUGGGCAUUGUUCAAUACAACAGUCAUGUCUCAUUACACUUUAAGAGGUUUCCCAGACACUGCAGCACAGUUUGUUGUUGCUGCUGUCACCGGAUACUUUCAUUCUAUAGCAUGUGCAGCAAAUUCGAAAAGUGUUGACGGGAGUUUACAGGAUAUUCUUCGCCUUUUAACACUAUGGUUCAACCAUGGAGCUACUGCGGAAGUUCAAAUGGCCCUUCGAAAGUCUUAACUUGCAUCCCUCGGAGGCCCCGAGAGUUUCGUUGUCUUUAAUCAAACGGAUUUUCCACCAUAGCAUGUGAAUGUUCACAGCGGAGACAAAUUCGUUAAAAACUCAACAUGGCACGAUAUCAUUCUGCAAUAACAAUGCAAUAACAACACACCAAAAUCAGUCCAAUUCCAAAAAAAAAAACACAUAUUCAAGUGAGUUACUGUGGUGAUUUGUUUCUUACCAACAGUGAAGUUUUGGAAAUGAAAGAGAACUGAGAAGGGGACCACAAAUUGAAUAUGGACAAAACUCAAAACCUUUCCCAGUACAGACAUUUCCCACUGCUCUGAGGAAACACAGCAACACAGCAGAAAGGGGAUGAGUGGUAUACAAUAGGAGGCCACUGUUCAUGGGGGAGAGCCGAAAAACCCUAAUUCCUUAGAGCAUCCGUUACUGUUCACUAAGAGAAAAAGGAGCUGACGGCAAGGAGAAAAGAAAACCAUAGUUGUUCUUGGUGGUGAAGAGUGGAAGAUCAAAAACCGGUUCAGACGGAACCUUACCUACAUCCGUCGGUCAAUCUCGCCGCAACCGGCUUGGUCCUUUUUUAUGGUAUCUGUUAGCGCUUGAGAUCAUAUAACAAGGAUGUCUAUCUGGUUGAGUUGGUAAAUGGAUGCUUUGGCAAGUCUUUGGUCCCGGGUUCAAUACCUGUGUGUACCAUAUUUUAAUUUUUCAGCAUUUUUUAAUUUCUAUUUCACAUUUCUUUUUAAUCCCCUCAUUAUUCCUAAUGUUUAUUACCCCUUUUAUUUAUUUUAAUUGUUAAAUAUCGCUUUUAAUUUAUGGAUUCAACAAUUUCCAUGUUGUUUAUCUAUGAUUAUUUUUAUCGAUACAUCGAUAGUAUUUCGCCGCGUUUUGAUUAAUCACAUAUGACAUUUCAAUUAUUGUCAAUAUGUGCAAACCGGCUUUGAGCACAUUAGCUAGAUUUCUUAGUUUCUUUUCAAUUUCCAUCCGUGCGAAUCCCGAUUUUACCCUUUUUCUAUUUAAUUUUAAGUUUGUUGUAAAUAUAACUUGUUGUGUUAUUUAUUUUCUUCACAUGGCUUACUCUUGGGCCUUCUUACAAUGAGACA